UGGGGAAUCUUGCACAAUGGGCGCAAGCCUGAUGCAGCCAUGCCGCGUGUGUGAAGAAGGCCUUCGGGUUGUAAAGCACUUUCAGCGGGGAGGCAGGCGAUAAGGUUAAUAACCUUGUCGAUUGACGUUACCCGCAGAAGAAGCACCGGCUAACUCCGUGCCAGCAGCCGCGGUAAUACGGAGGGUGCAAGCGUUAAUCGGAAUUACUGGGCGUAAAGCGCACGCAGGCGGUCUGUCAAGUCGGAUGUGAAAUCCCCGGGAUCAACCUGGGAACUGCAUUCGAAACUGGCAGGCUAGAGUCUUGUAGAGGGGGGUAGAAUUCCAGGUGUAGCGGUGAAAUGCGGAGAGAUCUGGAGGAAUACCGGUGGCGAAGGCGGCCCCCUGGACGAAGACUGACGCUCAGGUGCGAAAGCGUGGGGAGCAAACAGG
rnacentral:rRNA from 1 species